GCCUCCCAGGAUGAACAAAAAGAAAAACUUUCGUUCUUCUUUUGUCUAUGCAGAAAUAUAUUGGAGACCUAAAUUGAGGAGGC